rnacentral:rRNA from 1 species
AGCGAACGCUGGCGGCAGGCCUAACACAUGCAAGUCGAACGAACUCUUCGGAGUUAGUGGCGGACGGGUGAGUAACACGUGGGAACGUGCCUUUUGGUUCGGAAUAACUCAGGGAAACUUGUGCUAAUACCGAAUGUGCCCUUCGGGGGUAAGAUUUAUCGCCAUUAGAGCGGCCCGCGUCUGAUUAGCUAGUUGGUGAGGUAACGGCUCACCAAGGAGACGAUCAGUAGCUGGUCUGAGAGGAUGACCAGCCACACUGGGACUGAGACACGGCCCAGACUCGUACGGGAGGCAGCAGUGGGGAAUCUUGCGCAAUGGGCGAAAGCCUGACGCAGCCAUGCCGCGUGAAUGAUGAAGGUCUUAGGAUUGUAAAAUUCUUUCACCGGGGACGAUAAUGACGGUACCCGGAGAAGAAGCCCCGGCUAACUUCGUG